UAUGGCAGAAUAGUGCA
rnacentral:tRNA from 1 species